UGAGGAAUAUUGGUCAAUGGCCGGGAGGCUGAACCAGCCAAGUCGCGUGAGGGAAGACGGCCCUACGGGUUGUAAACCUCUUUUGUCAGGGAGCAAGGUGCAGGUCGGGACCUGCUGUGAGAGUACCUGAAGAAAAAGCAUCGGCUAACUCCGUGCCAGCAGCCGCGGUAAUACGGAGGAUGCGAGCGUUAUCCGGAUUUAUUGGGUUUAAAGGGUGCGCAGGCGGAGGCACAAGUCAGCGGUAAAAUCGCGGGGCUCAACCCCGCUCCGCCGUUGAAACUGUGUCCCUUGAGUGCGCGAAGGGUAGGCGGAAUGCGUGGUGUAGCGGUGAAAUGCAUAGAUAUCACGCAGAACUCCGAUCGCGAAGGCAGCCUACCGGCGCGCGACUGACGCUCAUGCA
rnacentral:rRNA from 1 species